rnacentral:rRNA from 1 species
AACGAACGCUGGCGGCAUGCCUAACACAUGCAAGUCGAACGAGACCUUCGGGUCUAGUGGCGCACGGGUGCGUAACGCGUGGGAAUCUGCCCUUGGGUUCGGAAUAACAGUUAGAAAUGACUGCUAAUACCGGAUGAUGUCUUCGGACCAAAGAUUUAUCGCCCAGGGAUGAGCCCGCGUCGGAUUAGCUUGUUGGUGAGGUAAAGGCUCACCUAGGCGACGAUCCGUAGCUGGUCUGAGAGGAUGAUCAGCCACACUGGGACUGAGACACGGCCCAGACUCCUACGGGAGGCAGCAGUGGGGAAUAUUGGACAAUGGGCGAAAGCCUGAUCCAGCAAUGCCGCGUGAGUGAUGAAGGCCUUAGGGUUGUAAAGCUCUUUUACCCGGGAUGAUAAUGACAGUACCGGGAGAAUAAGCCCCGGCUAACUCCGUGCCAGCCGCCGCGGUAA